GUGGUCAAGUCCAUGUCAGCAAAAAAAUUUCUCUUGUUCCUCCCCUGUAUUUCUCCUCUUUCUUGGCGUUCUUCAUUCCUUCAGUCGCUGACUCUUCUCCUCCCCUGCCCUAUCGCUCCUCCUCCUUCUUCACGCUCUUCAUCCCUCUCUUAACGCUCCUCCAGUUAGCGAGCGCUCCACCCAUCAGUGAGCUAACCUAAUGAAGGAAUCGAAGCCCUCCAUUUAGGGCCAACCCAGCCCUAACUUAGCCACGCCUCCUUCUUCUUCUUCCCUCCUCCUUCUUCUUCUUCCCUCUCCCUUCCAAGGAAUCGAAGCCUGGAAUUUCUUUGCCCAAAUUUCUCACCCCUACCAUCCCCAAGCGCCCACAUUCUUUUGGCAAGUGAUGCUGCAAGGUUCUUGUCAACACAACGACAGUUAUAGCAAGUGAUGUUGCAGGGUUCUUAUCAACGGAAUGUGUCGGGAGGAGAGAUGGGAGAGGAAUGGAGAACGAAGAAUGAAGAACGCUGCAAAAAAAAAAAAGAAGGUGGAACCGUCA